rnacentral:miRNA from 1 species
CACCUCAUUGACUGGAAGGAAUCCCUUCUGGUUGAUGAGGUUGUUACACCUCAUUGACUGGAAGGAAUCCCUUCUGGUCAAUGAGGUU